GGGUUGUGAGGUUAAGCGACUAAGCGUACACGGUGGAUGCCCUGGCAGUCAGAGGCGAUGAAGGACGUGCUAAUCUGCGAUAAGCGUCGGUAAGGUGAUAUGAACCGUUAUAACCGGCGAUUUCCGAAUGGGGAAACCCAGUGUGUUUCGACACACUAUCAUUAACUGAAUCCAUAGGUUAAUGAGGCGAACCGGGGGAACUGAAACAUCUAAGUACCCCGAGGAAAAGAAAUCAACCGAGAUUCCCCCAGUAGCGGCGAGCGAACGGGGAGCAGCCCAGAGCCUGAAUCAGUGUGUGUGUUAGUGGAAGCGUCUGGAAAGGCGCGCGAUACAGGGUGACAGCCCCGUACACAAAAAUGCACAUGCUGUGAGCUCGAUGAGUAGGGCGGGACACGUGGUAUCCUGUCUGAAUAUGGGGGGACCAUCCUCCAAGGCUAAAUACUCCUGACUGACCGAUAGUGAACCAGUACCGUGAGGGAAAGGCGAAAAGAACCCCGGCGAGGGGAGUGAAAAAGAACCUGAAACCGUGUACGUACAAGCAGUGGGAGCCUCUUUUAUGGGGUGACUGCGUACCUUUUGUAUAAUGGGUCAGCGACUUAUAUUCUGUAGCAAGGUUAACCGAAUAGGGGAGCCGAAGGGAAACCGAGUCUUAACUGGGCGUUAAGUUGCAGGGUAUAGACCCGAAACCCGGUGAUCUAGCCAUGGGCAGGUUGAAGGUUGGGUAACACUAACUGGAGGACCGAACCGACUAAUGUUGAAAAAUUAGCGGAUGACUUGUGGCUGGGGGUGAAAGGCCAAUCAAACCGGGAGAUAGCUGGUUCUCCCCGAAAGCUAUUUAGGUAGCGCCUCGUGAAUUCAUCUCCGGGGGUAGAGCACUGUUUCGGCAAGGGGGUCAUCCCGACUUACCAACCCGAUGCAAACUGCGAAUACCGGAGAAUGUUAUCACGGGAGACACACGGCGGGUGCUAACGUCCGUCGUGAAGAGGGAAACAACCCAGACCGCCAGCUAAGGUCCCAAAGUCAUGGUUAAGUGGGAAACGAUGUGGGAAGGCCCAGACAGCCAGGAUGUUGGCUUAGAAGCAGCCAUCAUUUAAAGAAAGCGUAAUAGCUCACUGGUCGAGUCGGCCUGCGCGGAAGAUGUAACGGGGCUAAACCAUGCACCGAAGCUGCGGCAGCGACGCUUAUGCGUUGUUGGGUAGGGGAGCGUUCUGUAAGCCUGUGAAGGUGUGCUGUGAGGCAUGCUGGAGGUAUCAGAAGUGCGAAUGCUGACAUAAGUAACGAUAAAGCGGGUGAAAAGCCCGCUCGCCGGAAGACCAAGGGUUCCUGUCCAACGUUAAUCGGGGCAGGGUGAGUCGACCCCUAAGGCGAGGCCGAAAGGCGUAGUCGAUGGGAAACAGGUUAAUAUUCCUGUACUUGGUGUUACUGCGAAGGGGGGACGGAGAAGGCUAUGUUGGCCGGGCGACGGUUGUCCCGGUUUAAGCGUGUAGGCUGGUUUUCCAGGCAAAUCCGGAAAAUCAAGGCUGAGGCGUGAUGACGAGGCACUACGGUGCUGAAGCAACAAAUGCCCUGCUUCCAGGAAAAGCCUCUAAGCAUCAGGUAACAUCAAAUCGUACCCCAAACCGACACAGGUGGUCAGGUAGAGAAUACCAAGGCGCUUGAGAGAACUCGGGUGAAGGAACUAGGCAAAAUGGUGCCGUAACUUCGGGAGAAGGCACGCUGAUAUGUAGGUGAAGCGACUUGCUCGUGGAGCUGAAAUCAGUCGAAGAUACCAGCUGGCUGCAACUGUUUAUUAAAAACACAGCACUGUGCAAACACGAAAGUGGACGUAUACGGUGUGACGCCUGCCCGGUGCCGGAAGGUUAAUUGAUGGGGUCAGCGCAAGCGAAGCUCUUGAUCGAAGCCCCGGUAAACGGCGGCCGUAACUAUAACGGUCCUAAGGUAGCGAAAUUCCUUGUCGGGUAAGUUCCGACCUGCACGAAUGGCGUAAUGAUGGCCAGGCUGUCUCCACCCGAGACUCAGUGAAAUUGAACUCGCUGUGAAGAUGCAGUGUACCCGCGGCAAGACGGAAAGACCCCGUGAACCUUUACUAUAGCUUGACACUGAACAUUGAGCCUUGAUGUGUAGGAUAGGUGGGAGGCUUUGAAGUGUGGACGCCAGUCUGCAUGGAGCCGACCUUGAAAUACCACCCUUUAAUGUUUGAUGUUCUAACGUUGACCCGUAAUCCGGGUUGCGGACAGUGUCUGGUGGGUAGUUUGACUGGGGCGGUCUCCUCCUAAAGAGUAACGGAGGAGCACGAAGGUUGGCUAAUCCUGGUCGGACAUCAGGAGGUUAGUGCAAUGGCAUAAGCCAGCUUGACUGCGAGCGUGACGGCGCGAGCAGGUGCGAAAGCAGGUCAUAGUGAUCCGGUGGUUCUGAAUGGAAGGGCCAUCGCUCAACGGAUAAAAGGUACUCCGGGGAUAACAGGCUGAUACCGCCCAAGAGUUCAUAUCGACGGCGGUGUUUGGCACCUCGAUGUCGGCUCAUCACAUCCUGGGGCUGAAGUAGGUCCCAAGGGUAUGGCUGUUCGCCAUUUAAAGUGGUACGCGAGCUGGGUUUAGAACGUCGUGAGACAGUUCGGUCCCUAUCUGCCGUGGGCGCUGGAGAACUGAGGGGGGCUGCUCCUAGUACGAGAGGACCGGAGUGGACGCAUCACUGGUGUUCGGGUUGUCAUGCCAAUGGCACUGCCCGGUAGCUAAAUGCGGAAGAGAUAAGUGCUGAAAGCAUCUAAGCACGAAACUUGCCCCGAGAUGAGUUCUCCCUGACUCCUUGAGAGUCCUGAAGGAACGUUGAAGACGACGACGUUGAUAGGCCGGGUGUGUAAGCGCAGCGAUGCGUUGAGCUAACCGGUACUAAUGAACCGUGAGGCUUAACCUUACAACGCCGAAGGUGUUU
rnacentral:rRNA from 2 species